rnacentral:rRNA from 1 species
UGGGGAAUAUUGCGCAAUGGGGGGAACCCUGACGCAGCCAUGCCGCGUGAAUGAAGAAGGCCUUAGGGUUGUAAAGUUCUUUCGGUAUUGAGGAAGGUUGAUGUGUUAAUAGCACAUCAAAUUGACGUUAAAUACAGAAGAAGCACCGGCUAACUCCGUGCCAGCAGCCGCGGUAAUACGGAGGGUGCGAGCGUUAAUCGGAAUAACUGGGCGUAAAGGGCACGCAGGCGGUUAUUUAAGUGAGGUGUGAAAGCCCUGGGCUUAACCUAGGAAUUGCAUUUCAGACUGGGUAACUAGAGUACUUUAGGGAGGGGUAGAAUUCCACGUGUAGCGGUGAAAUGCGUAGAGAUGUGGAGGAAUACCGAAGGCGAAGGCAGCCCCUUGGGAAUGUACUGACGCUCAUGUGCGAAAGCGUGGGGAGCAGACAGGAUUAGAUACCCUGGUAGUCCACGCUGUAAACGCUGUCGAUUUGGGGGUUGGGGUUUAACUCUGGCGCCCGUAGCUAACGUGAUAAAUCGACCGCCUGGGGAGUACGGCCGCAAGGUUA